UAGCGUUCGGAGUCGAGUGUUCCGGUUCUCUAUUUUCAAUUUUGAAAGAAUUUGUUAAGUUUUAUUCAACCGAAAUUUGAUUGGGUUAGCGAAGUUUUCAUCUAACAUGUUAGCAGUUGGUGUAGGCAAUUGAAUAGAAUAUUCUUUGAAGUUAGCGUUCCUCCAUCCGAGUGCAAUAUGCACGCGCUCCAGCAACAUAUUCAUUUUUUCGGAUGAGCGCGGGCAGGAAAAGGGUGCCUGGAUUCAAAAGUCGCUGUUGGCAGCCAGGUCUUCACCGCCCCAGUGGCCUAAUGGACAAGGCACCGGCCUCCUAAGCCGGGGAUUGUGGGUUCGAGUCCCAUCUGGGGUACUGUCCGAUAUCUUUUUGCCACUGGUUGCGGUGCGUCUAUAAAGGUGCAUAAAGAAUAUGGCCCUUAUUCUGCGCCGCGCGUGACGUGAUGAUUGUCACCUCACCUCGGAGUCACCGUGAGAUUUGUCACCUUAUUCCCGUAGUCGAUGUGGGUAAAGUGACAGAGGUUCAUUCGUAGGUGAGUGACUGAGUGAGCUCAUGUGUCAAACUAGCUCGGUUUGUUUUGUUUUGCUCGCGUUUCCGAAUUUUAAAAUUAGUUUUUUAAUCAACAACUGCGAAUUUAGUUUCGGAAAAUACCACAAUCCAAUUUUACGGUGUUAGCAAGUCGUCCAGGCCGGAUUUGGAGUCGAAAUUUGCAGCGGAUGAGCCGGUAAGCUGACUGAUUGGAGUAAAAAAACUAACCGCAAGUUAUUUUCCUACACCGUAGCCACUACAAGGCCGCUGUGGAAAAGCAGUAUGAGGCGGUGCCCAUUUCUGAGGCUACGUGUUGUCGGAAAAUGUAAUCGUAGAGACAAUUUCGCACCAACAUCCGGAAAUGUCCAAUCGCCACGGAAAACCCUGAAAACUGCACCGAGCAGCUGCGGAAAUCUGCCACAAGUGGAAGAUGUUAGAUGGUUUCCAAAAUGCCGCCUUGCGAAGUAACUGCCCAUGAUGCUGGAUGAUUCAACGCCCCUUAUCGUACUGGACUUGAAAAGUGGCAGCUGUCUGAAAUUUGCAACAGGCAAUCCGGGAGGCAAAUUAAAUUUUUAAUAAUGUUUGUCGGCUACCUUAUAGUCAUAUUAUGCACCAAAUAGGGUGAUGUAAAAUCUACAAAUAAAUUUAUAUAUUUGACCGUUCAA